CAAAAACAAUGAGGUUUUUUUUGUCUGAAAAAUCGGCUUAACUAUAUUUAUUUUUUUGUUUUUUUUUCCUUUCCCUGCGCUUAAGGCUUCUAUUUUCUCCCAAUGCCUAGGGUUUUGUUCUCCUUUUGGUGAAGAUUUAACAACAUUACCGCCGCCACCAUCACGCCUAACCUAAACUCCACCCUCGCCAAGCUCAACCAACCAUCCUCAAAAGCCACAGAAGUCGUCGCAGCUAGGGCUACAACCGAAACCUCCAAAACGGCGGAAACGAGCUCAAGAAAGUGGUCUCAG
rnacentral:lncRNA from 1 species